GCCUGGGUGGCUCAGUCAGUUAAGUGUCUGACUUCGGCUCAGGUCAUGAUCUCACAGUUUGUGAGUUCAAGUCCCGCAUCAGGCU
rnacentral:tRNA from 1 species